AAAAAAAAAGGUUUUCCGUGUGUUUGAUUUCUGAGGCCUGAUAUAUUUACUGAUGGUUGGAUUAGUUAGUUUUGAUUGUGAUUUGUGUUAAAAAUAUAAUAGUUCUGCAUAAAAAACAAAGUUUCUCCGCACAUAUCGGCAGCUCAGAUUUUCAAACCAAGCGAAUAGUUUAAUGGCUGAUUAUUGUUACCGAUGCGGCUUCUCCCGAUAUUCAACACCCAUUAUGAGCUUCUGUACCGAGAAAAUAAA